UACGGAGGGUGCAAGCGUUAUCCGGAAUCACUGGGUUUAAAGGGUGCGUAGGCUGUUUGAUAAGUCUGUCGUGAAAUACCUAGGCUUAACCAAGGAAUUGCGAUGGAAACUGUUGGACUUGAAUGAUGAUGAGGUUGGCGGAAUGUGACAUGUAGCGGUGAAAUGCUUAGAUAUGUCAUAGAACACCGAUUGCGAAGGCAGCUAACCAAUCAUGAAUUGACGCUGAGGCACGAAAGUGUGGGGAGCAAACAGG
rnacentral:rRNA from 1 species